rnacentral:rRNA from 1 species
UACGUAGGGGGCAAGCGUUGUCCGGAUUUAUUGGGCGUAAAGGGCGCGUAGGCGGCCGAUCAAGUCGGAGGUGAAAUCCCUCGGCUCAACUGAGGAAUUGCCUUCGAUACUGUUCGGCUUGAGUCCUGGAGAGGGUAGCGGAAUUCCCGGUGUAGCGGUGAAAUGCGUAGAGACCGGGAAGAACACCAGUGGCGAAGGCGGCUACCUGGACAGGUACUGACGCUGAAGCGCGAAAGCUAGGGGAGCAAACAGG